AAUUUUGGACAAUGGGGGAAACCCCGAUCCAGCCAUCCCGCGUGUAUGAUGAAGGCCUUCGUGUUGUACAGUACUUUUGUCAGAGAAGAAAAGUUAUUUCCUAAUACGAGAUACUGCUGACGGUAUCUGCUGAAUAAGCACCUUCUAACUAAUUGCCAGCAGCCUCGGUAAUACGUAGGGUGCAAGCGUUAAUCUGUAUUACUGGGCGUAAAGCGUGUGUAGGCGGUUCAGAAAGAAAGAUGUGCAAUCCCAGGGCUCAACCUUGGAGCUGCAUUUUUAACUGCCGAGCUAGAAUAUGUCAGAGAGGGGUAGAAUUCCACGUGUAGCAGUGAAAUGCGUAGAUAUGUGGAGGAAUACCGAUGGCGAAGGCAGCCCCCUGGGAUAAUACUGACGCUCAGACACGAAAGCGUGGGGAGCAAACAG
rnacentral:rRNA from 1 species